AAGCAGUCGAAGGGAAUAUAUCCAGAUGGAACAAUGACAGGUGCGAAUCUGAUGCUUGCUUCCAAAACCUAGUGCGCUGCCUACGCCACAAACGGACAUGUACUGCGUGGUAUGAAGACCAUGCCCCAGUCAUUUCCUCCCAUCAGUUUCAAUCUGUCAGAGAGACCAACUCCAGAUAGAAGAGCAGCAGCAGCAGCGCUUUAUACUCAAGCCAAAUCACAUGAUGUUCUCGCUUUGAGAGUUUUUAUGGGCUGAGAGAGUGAAGGAGAUGCCUGUGAUUCUUCCCGGACAACUCAUUCAUUUGAACAUAGGCUAUAUCAAUAGAUUUUGUUUUCUCGCACAUGCAGUGCUUUAGAGUAGCUGCGCUUUAUCUCAGUCUAGUUCAGUUGCACAGUCUUGUUUUCUCUUGCAGAUCAAAACUUUCUUAAAAGCUGGAAGCACUUUGCAAUAAGGAUUCAUUUAUUGACAUGAGUUAACUAGGGCCUAUACUAGUUGACGAAGGUAGUACAACCUCAGUUGUGCCUUUCUAAAAUUAGGCUAUUUUAAUAUUCCAGACUCAGACCCAGUGUUAACCAAAACAAUGAUUUGAUAUUUUUGUGUUUGCAUACUUUUAACUGUUUCUUAAGUUGAUCUGUGUUUUAUGGUUGAAAAGUCAUAAAUCAGUGAUGAUAUGUAAUCAUUAAACCCAUAAUCCAAAUAAUUAUAAUAAUCCAAAUUAAUAACAGUGUAAAUGUUCAGCUGUUUUUAAUGCUUUAAACUUUUUAAAAUUGUAAACAGCUUUAAAAAUUGACUUGGCAUUUUAUAAACCUUAAAACAGUCAAUGGAAUAAAAGAGCUCUUCUGUUUUCUAUAUGAAAUGCAUUUCAGAGCUUUUUGUUUUGGUAUGAAAUUAUGUAAUUAAAUUAUUUCACUGCAUGGUGCAUCACUAAUGGGUGAUGUAAUUUCGUAAAAUGUGGCGACAUCGUCAUCGUCAUCAUGUAUUCUUUUUCUAAUUAUUUUUGUUUUUGUGGUAACAUGGCAACCAAGUGCGGUCUCCACCCAAACAGCACCUCGCAAACACUGAUGCUCUCGCUGCAUGCUGUCAUUAUUGCAGCUUCUUGCGUCACGCCGUUCUCCUCGCUGAUGCAUGCCGAUGUUUCUGAGCUGUGAUUGAGAACAGAUGCUUAGGCCUCUCGUGGAAAAACAGAGAUUACUGGGUUCCAAGAAAACCCUACAAACACUGCCAUUGCAAAACCUGAUUAUUAAUGCACAUGCGCAGUAAUGUCACACCGCAUGAGCCGAAUAUCUAAUUUUAUGUCCGUACGGGUCCUCAAAGCAUGCAUCAAGGUUGCAUUCAAUUUCUUUCCAUUAUUGCUUCAUUUUUUGAUGAUUACUAGCAAUAAACUUUGAACACAUCACUCUGAAACCAUGA
ensembl:lncRNA